AGGAGCAUACAGAGCCACGCUGCCUUCCAGGCCCCAUUAGACUCCUCUUGCUAGUAUUUCAGUAGAGCGUCCGUUCCACUGAAGAUGCAAAUCUCAGCUCUCUUGAAUUCUUAGUGAAGAAUUGUCUUUCCUUUAGGCCUUUCCUGCCUUAUGGAUGUGAAGCUGUAUGGCAGGCGGUCCCCACCUUAUGUAUUACAAAUCCAGAGCGGCCAGGCCACCUCACCGAGCGGCGCAUUCAAGUGUUCCGUUGACUCCUGCUUCCCUGCUUCCGUCUCCGAGGUGAAAACACUACAGUUCUGCUUCCAGACCUUGAAGGCUUCUCAUAUUUGACCUCUAUGACUUCUUUUCUGCUCAUCUGUCUUCUACCAUCCGCUUGUCAACUCCUUAGACUGCUUACCUACAGAAACAAUUGCAAUGACAUGAUGCCCAGUGAGAAUCAAAAUUAAAGCAGUUACCAUGAGGGCAGAGGGAGAAUAAAGGCAUCAGAAUGUAGACCGACUUUUACACAGAAUCCUAGCCACAUGGAAGCUCCCUCUUUCUUCAUCCCUCACCCGAACAUUUCUCUAUCUAUUGGUGUCCUUAUGCCCUUACAGGAGAGAGAAGAUUCUAGUAAAGCAGUAAGUGGCAACUGGAGGCCACUUCCUAAGUCGCUGCAUCUGCAUGCAUUUUUACUACGAACUUGUUGAGCACAGCAAUUUAUAGCUCUGUAAAUAAGACAUUACUUUGAGAUAACAUUCAGCCAUGUGAAGUCACCAGCUAACCGGUGUAAGAAGAUGCUUAAACAUCAGGUGUAAUAUCCCUUAUAUCUGAUCUUUAAUUUAAUUUUUAAUUCUCUGGAAGAAGAAACAUUUUCAGUCAAAAAAUAUUAGUAUUAAUUUUUAGGGGUCAACUGUAAGUUCCUUAAGGUAAGUAUUUGACUCAAUUCUGAAAUUAAUGGGGCAAUAUUUAAAUGGAUCAGUGCAUCCAUUUAUUUAGCAGUUUAUGACACCUAAUUUUAAGACUAACAUUUUUCAAAUGUGUUAUUACUUUUCCAAUCAUACAUAAGUAGACGUCUGAAACGUGGUGAAGAUAAAUUAACCCUUGCUCUUAUUGCUUCCAGCACAGCCUGCCAAGUUUCACACAGCCGAACAAUAUGCUAAGGUAACACGAAUUUACCCCCCGAAAUGUUUCCGCGUUUUGCAGAGAGGGCAACAAAAUGAAAGGCUGCCUUGUAUCUCUUGCAUGAAAAUCUUGAGAUCAAUUUGCUGUCACAGAUCAUUUAACAGACGACAAUGACCCAAGAGGAAGGAAA